GUGGGAGAGGAGCCAGAGACAGCAGCUGCUCAGAAUCCAGACCUGUACUUUUGUGUUGGGACUCUACCUUGUUUUGUGCUUUGUGAUCAUAAGGAACUGGCCAGGUGCCCCUGAUCCACCACGGAUUUCCUGUAUCUAUUCGAUGGCGAGCUUCGAUCCCAAGCCAGGAGCCUGAAGAAAUCCCAACCCUUUGUCAACAUCCCAUGGUCUGGUAGGAGGCUUAGCAGCCUGCUCACUCUCCUACCUUCUCACUACUGAGCCCUUUCACAUCCACCUACUCCCCCUCUGGACAAUUUGCGCGUUGGAAACUACCCACCUCGAACAAUAAAAGCCCCAAAUGAACAAUUGCGUUCAGUAUGCGUUUGGAGCCACCCAAAUGCUUGGUCGGACCUUGGGAUGCAUUUUGUUUUCUUUUUCUAGUUUGAUUUAUUGAACUUCAUGAGAAACAGAAACAAUUGUAUUGUUGACUGGUUGUUGUUCUUUUGAUUGAUUGAUUAAUCUGUGCACAGAAAUUACUGCAGUUUGUAAAUACGUUUUGCUUUAUUUUGUUCACAUUCUUAUAAUAUAUUUCCACAUUUAAAAUCAAAUUACUAUCUCCUGGUCUCAUUUACUGCACUGCCCUCCAGUAGCCGAAUCUAACCUUCUGUCAAUAGCCCAGUAUAUAUUCUCACCUAAUUCAACCACUUUUAGUAUUAUCAUUAUUUAACGCUACACACUCCUGGUUGUAAGUAAUUACAUAAUUACAUUGUAAUAAAGCAAACUCUUGCUACAAUUUGUUAAUUGAUAUUUCAAUUUAUCUGUAAAUUCAUUCAAGCAAUAAAUGGUCAUUGGGAAGAACUGGAGCCACUACUCAUCUUUAUCUGCAUGUGUCAAGACACAAAUCCAACUCAGC
ensembl:lncRNA